UUUAAGCUGCCUUGGCGAAGAGACAAACACAUUUCCUAAUUUCUAGAAAAACUAUUAAUUCGUAACGUUUUAACAAUGUUUAAAAAAAAAAUUGGAUCAAAUGUAGCACAAAUACCUAAGAAUGGGUCUAAAAAUGAUAAAUCCAAAAAGAUGGAAACUAAAGUGAAAUCUUGUAAAUGUAUACCACUGAGCUGUAAAUGCAAACUCCGAAACGCUGUUAAACUGCUGGCAAAGCGGCGAUAUCGCAACUUAUCGAAUGGCAUUCUUGUUUAAGUGUUACAUUGUUAAAAAAUAAUAUAUAAUAAAAAGUAAACAAUGAAAAAUAAAAA